CAUUGCUCAGUGAGUAGAGCAUGAGACUCUUAAUCUCAGGGUCAUGGGUUUGAGCCCCACGUUG
rnacentral:tRNA from 1 species